UGGCGGCGUGCUUAACACAUGCAAGUCGAACCUUUAGGCCCUUCGGGGUACUCGAGUGGCGAACGGGUGAGUAACACGUGGGUGAUCUGCCCUGCACUCUGGGAUAAGCCUGGGAAACUGGGUCUAAUACCGGAUAGGACCACACACUUCAUGGUGAGUGGUGCAAAGCUUUUGCGGUGUGGGAUGAGCCCGCGGCCUAUCAGCUUGUUGGUGGGGUAAUGGCCCACCAAGGCGACGACGGGUAGCCGGCCUGAGAGGGUGACCGGCCACACUGGGACUGAGAUACGGCCCAGACUCCUACGGGAGGCAGCAGUGGGGAAUAUUGCACAAUGGGCGCAAGCCUGAUGCAGCGACGCCGCGUGAGGGAUGACGGCCUUCGGGUUGUAAACCUCUUUCAGUAGGGACGAAGCGAAAGUGACGGUACCUACAGAAGAAGGACCGGCCAACUACGUGCCAGCAGCCGCGGUAAUACGUAGGGUCCGAGCGUUGUCCGGAAUUACUGGGCGUAAAGAGCUCGUAGGUGGUUUGUCGCGUUGUUCGUGAAAACUCACAGCUUAACUGUGGGCGUGCGGGCGAUACGGGCAGACUAGAGUACUGCAGGGGAGACUGGAAUUCCUGGUGUAGCGGUGGAAUGCGCAGAUAUCAGGAGGAACACCGGUGGCGAAGGCGGGUCUCUGGGCAGUAACUGACGCUGAGGAGCGAAAGCGUGGGUAGCGAACAGGAUUAGAUCCCCUGGUAGUCCCCCGCCGAAACCGGUGGGUACUAGGUGUGGGUUUCCCUUCCCUUGGGAUCCGUGCCGUAGCUAACGCAUUAAGUACCCCGCCUGGGGAGUACGGUCGCAAGACUAAAACUCAAAGGAAUUGACGGGGGCCCGCACAAGCGGCGGAGCAUGUGGAUUAAUUCGAUGCAACGCGAAGAACCUUACCUGGGUUUGACAUGCACAGGACGUACCUAGAGAUAGGUAUUCCCUUGUGGCCUGUGUGCAGGUGGUGCAUGGCUGUCGUCAGCUCGUGUCGUGAGAUGUUGGGUUAAGUCCCGCAACGAGCGCAACCCUUGUCCUAUGUUGCCAGCGGGUAAUGCCGGGGACUCGUAGGAGACUGCCGGGGUCAACUCGGAGGAAGGUGGGGAUGACGUCAAGUCAUCAUGCCCCUUAUGUCCAGGGCUUCACACAUGCCACAAUGGCCAGUACAGAGGGCUGCGAAGCCGCAAGGUGGAGCGAAUCCCUUAAAGCUGGUCUCAGUUCGGAUUGGGGUCUGCAACUCGACCCCAUGAAGUCGGAGUCGCUAGUAAUCGCAGAUCAGCAACGCUGCGGUGAAUACGUUCCCGGGCCUUGUACACACCGCCCGUCACGUCAUGAAAGUCGGUAACACCCGAAGCCAGUGGCCUAACCUUUUGGAGAGAGCUGUCGAAGGUGGGAUCGGCGAUUGGG
rnacentral:rRNA from 1 species